rnacentral:rRNA from 1 species
AUGAACUUAGAAUUCUUUUACGACAACGUUGGUAGCCGUGUCAAACCAGCUAGAGACCCAAACCGCAUUAGAGCUUUUCUUCAGACAUACAAGGAUAUUGAAAAUGCAGACACACACUUUCAACUUCAGAAAGAUCUCAUUGAGCACCAUUGGCAAAGGGCUGGACAGUGA